GGGGCUGAAUUUUAAGCUCGACGUUGGUACAUUUCGAUGAUGGUUGCAGGUCGCUUGUCAGCGUUAUAGACAACACUCAAUAGAUGCAAAUCCAUUGAAACAAGCUGUAGCAGCAGUGAAGAAUUUCUUCGCUCCUAACUACGCUUACGCUGUAGCUUAAUUACUACAGCAACGCCUCUGACAACGCCAGAUAGCUAGAGUAGCGUUUUAUAUUUCUGGACGCUCAUGCGGUUUCACCCAGGCCGUGUGCUAAGACUAGGGUUGCUCGCUCGGUAUGUUUGUCUGUUUUUAAACCCGAGUGCUAAGACAAUAAAAUAGACUAAACCUGUAGAGCCUUAUCGACAAGUCCGGCGGACGCGGGGGCAGUACCCGCCAGCUCCACCA
rnacentral:tmRNA from 1 species